rnacentral:lncRNA from 1 species
UAGCUAGUUUUCCAAGUAAAUUUUUAAAAUUGAGAGAUCUAUUUCAAAAUAGCUUGUCGAUGAUGCGGCAGUGUUUUAUAUACCAGUGGUAGCACAUCAUCUAUGUUUCAAUCUAUCAAAUUUCUCCCUUUGAGAGAAAGUAUAGAUUUUUUUUUUAUUUUAGAAGAAAUUAUGAUGAAACUAGUGUAGUGACCUGCACGAUUGUGAGGACUGAAAAUUUGACAGUGUAGCUAAAUUCUUUGUUGACGAUAUUUUGUGUAUAAUUUAAUUACAUAAGCACUCGUCAAGUUUUAGGAGAAAACGAGCUAAGAUGGAAAAGUUACACGAUCAUUACUAAUCACUUAAAGUGAAUAGUAACUACGAUUUUUCGGAGAGGCCGAUCAGUGGAGAUGGCUUCUGGUGCGUAUUGGACUCCGUUCAUAGUGAUCCAAUAGCUCGUUUUCAAUGAUUUGAUUAUCUUGGACCCAAUGGCACUGACGGAUUUGGGUUCUGAUACACGAUUUUCGAGAAAAUGGGAUUUUAUCGCAAAAGGAGGUUUUUGCAUAUUGGAGAAAGAAUGGGUUUCGUCAGGAAUAUGUGG